AACGAACGCUGGCGGCAUGCCUAACACAUGCAAGUCGAACGAGACCUUCGGGUCUAGUGGCGCACGGGUGCGUAACGCGUGGGAACCUGCCCUUAGGUUCGGAAUAACUCCCCGAAAGGGGUGCUAAUACCGGAUAAUGUCUUCGGACCAAAGAUUUAUCGCCUUUGGAUGGGCCCGCGUUGUGUUGGCUAGUUGGUAGGGUAAAAGCCUACCAAGGCGACGAUCCAUAGCUGGUCUGAGAGGAUGAUCAGCCACACUGGGACUGAGACACGGCCCAGACUCCUACGGGAGGCAGCAGUGGGGAAUAUUGGACAAUGGGCGAAAGCCUGAUCCAGCAAUGCCGCGUGAGUGAUGAAGGCCUUAGGGUUGUAAAGCUCUUUUACCCGGGAUGAUAAUGACAGUACCGGGAGAAUAAGCUCCGGCUAACUCCGUG
rnacentral:rRNA from 1 species